rnacentral:rRNA from 1 species
AUACGUAGGUGACAAGCGUUAUCCGGAUUUACUGGGCGUAAAGGGCGUGUAGGCGGUCUUGCAAGUCAGAAGUGAAAUUCCUGAGCUCAACUCGGGCGCUGCUUCUGAAACUGCAGGACUUGAGUGCUGGAGGGGAUAGCGGAAUUCCUAGUGGAGCGGUAAAAUGCGCAGAUAUUAGGAAGAACACCGGUGGCGAAGGCGGCUAUCUGGACAGUAACUGACGCUGAGGCGCGAAAGCGUGGGGAGCAAACAGGAUUAGAUACCCUGGUAGUCCACGCCCUAAACGAUGAAUACUAGGUGUGGGGGGACUGACCCCUUCCGUGCCGGAGUAAACACAAUAAGUAUUCCACCUGGGGAGUACGACCGCAAGGUUGAAACUCAAAUGAAUUGACGGGG